rfam:Beta vulgaris subsp. vulgaris Bvchr2.sca017.con0032.1, whole genome shotgun sequence.
GAGUAAGAUCAUCAAAUUACAAUGAUGGAAACUUGCAUUGAAGGUUGGCAAUAUGAAAUAUAGGCGAUUCUCCGUGCCUAUCGAACUUAUUGCUUGUGUCGAUUAUGGCCUCGAACAAACUGCUACAUU